rnacentral:pre_miRNA from 1 species
AAUAUACUCCCUCCGUUCCAAAUUACUUGUCGAAGAAAUGGAUGUAUCUAGAACUAAAAUACAUCUAGAUACAUCCAUACCUACGACAAGUAAUUCGGAACGGAGGGAGUACUAA